rnacentral:rRNA from 1 species
UACGUAGGGGGCUAGCGUUGUCCGGAAUCAUUGGGCGUAAAGAGCGCGUAGGCGGCCAGAUAAGUCCGCUGUGAAAGUCGGGGGCUCAACCCUCGAAUGCCGGUGGAUACUGUCGGGCUAGAGUGCGGAAGAGGCGAGUGGAAUUCCUGGUGUAGCGGUGAAAUGCGCAGAUAUCAGGAGGAACACCUAUUGCGAAGGCAGCUCGCUGGGACGUAACUGACGCUGAGACGCGAAAGCGUGGGGAGCAAACAGG